GCCAGAGUGGAGUAGUGAUUGGAGUGUUGGACUAUGACUCUGAAGACCAGGGUUCGAAUCCCAGCUCCAUCA